UGAACGCUGGCGGCGUGCCUAAUACAUGCAAGUCGAGCGAACAGACGCGGAGCUUGCUCCUCUGACGUUAGCGGCGGACGGGUGAGUAACACGUGGAUAACCUACCUAUAAGACUGGGAUAACUUCGGGAAACCGGAGCUAAUACCGGAUAAUAUAUUGAACCGCAUGGUUCAAUAGUGAAAGACGGUUUUGCUGUCACUUAUAGAUGGAUCCGCGCCGCAUUAGCUAGUUGGUAUGGUAACGGCUUACCAAGGCAACGAUGCGUAGCCGACCUGAGAGGGUGAUCGGCCACACUGGAACUGAGACACGGUCCAGACUCCUACGGGAGGCAGCAGUAGGGAAUCUUCCGCAAUGGGCGAAAGCCUGACGGAGCAACGCCGCGUGAGUGAUGAAGGUCUUCGGAUCGUAAAACUCUGUUAUUAGGGAAGAACAAAUGUGUAAGUAACUAUGCACGUCUUGACGGUACCUAAUCAGAAAGCCACGGCUAACUACGUG
rnacentral:rRNA from 1 species